CUCCGACUCGAACCCUUCACAGAAGAUCAGGGUCGGCCAGCGGUGCGGCCUGUGAGGGCCUCCCGCUCGUCAGCUUCCUUGCGCAUCCCAGGUUUAAGGGCGACGAUCAGUAGCUGGUCUGAGAGGAUGAUCAGCCACAUUGGGACUGAGACACGGCCCAAACUCCUACGGGAGGCAGCAGUGGGGAAUAUUGGACAAUGGGGGCAACCCUGAUCCAGCCAUGCCGCGUGAGUGAUGAAGGCCCUAGGGUUGUAAAGCUCUUUUGUGCGGGAAGAUAAUAACG
rnacentral:rRNA from 1 species